ACUGCUCAGUAACACGUGGAUAACCUGCCCUUGGGUCCGGCAUAACCCCGGGAAACUGGGGAUAAUUCCGGAUAACACGCAUAUGCUGGAAUGCUUUGCGUGUAAAAUGGAUUCGUCUGCCCAAGGAUGGGUCUGCGGCCUAUCAGGUAGUAGUGGGUGUAAUGUACCUACUAGCCUACGACGGGUACGGGUUGUGAGAGCAAGAGCCCGGAGAUGGAUUCUGAGACAUGAAUCCAGGCCCUACGGGGCGCAGCAGGCGCGAAAACUUUACAAUGCGGGAAACCGUGAUAAGGGGACACCGAGUGCCAGCAUCAUAUGCUGGCUGUCCGGGUGUGUAAAAUACACCUGUUAGCAAGGGCCGGGCAAGACCGGUGCCAGCCGCCGCGGUAACACCGGCGGCCCGAGUGGUGAUCGUGAUUAUUGGGUCUAAAGGGUCCGUAGCCGGUUUGGUCAGUCCUCCGGGAAAUCUGGCAGCUUAACUGCUAGGCUUUCGGAGGAUACUGCCAGACUUGGAACCGGGAGAGGUAAGAGGUACUACAGGGGUAGGAGUGAAAUCUUGUAAUCCCUGUGGGACCACCUGUGGCGAAGGCGUCUUACCAGAACGGGUUCGACGGUGAGGGACGAAAGCUGGGGGCACGAACCGGAUUAGAUACCCGGGUAGUCCCAGCCGUAAACGAUGCUCGCUAGGUGUCAGGCAUGGCGCGACCGUGUCUGGUGCCGCAGGGAAGCCGUGAAGCGAGCCACCUGGGAAGUACGGCCGCAAGGCUGAAACUUAAAGGAAUUGGCGGGGGAGCAC
rnacentral:rRNA from 1 species